rfam:Felis catus isolate Cinnamon breed Abyssinian chromosome B1, whole genome shotgun sequence.
GCCUGAGUGGCUCAGUUGGUUAGGCGCCUGACUUCGGCUCAGGUCAUGAUCUCAUAUUCCGUGAGUUCGAGCCCCACUUCUGGCU